rnacentral:rRNA from 1 species
UGGAGUAUGUGGUUUAAUUCGACGCAACGCGCUAGAACCUUACCUGGUCUUGACAUCUCGGGAAUCAUUUGGAAACAUAUGAGUGCCUCGCAAGAGGAGCCCGAUGACAGGUGCUGCAUGGCUGUCGUCAGCUCGUGUCGUGAGAUGUUGGGUUAAGUCCCGCAACGAGCGCAACCCUUGUCUUUAGUUGCCAUCAUUAAGUUGGGCACUCUAAAGAGACUGCCGGUGUCAAACCGGAGGAAGUGGGGAUGACGUCAAGUCCUCAUGGCCUUUAUGACCAGGGCUACACACGUACUACAAUGGCAGGUACAAAGGGCAGCCACUUAGCGAUAAGGCGCGAAUCCCAUAAAACCUGUCUCAGUCCGGAUUGGAGUCUGCAACUCGCCUGCAUGAAGAUGGAGUUGCUAGUAACCGCAGGUCAGCUAUACUGCGGUGAAUACGUUCCCGGGGCUU